rfam:Cavia porcellus supercont2_38 genomic scaffold, whole genome shotgun sequence.
CAAAAGGCCCUUUUCAGGGCCACCCACAAUGAUCACAAAAAGAAGG